UCCGGCUUAUCACCGGCGGUUUCCUUAGAGUGCCCAACUUAAUGUGGCAACUAAUGGCAAGGGUUGCGCUCGUUGCGGGACUUAACCCAACAUCUCACGACACGAGCUGACGACAGCCAUGCAGCACCUGUGUCCAGGUUCCCUUUCGGGCACCCCUCCAUCUCUGGAAGGUUCCUGGCAUGUCAAGGGUAGGUAAGGUUUUUCGCGUUGCAUCGAAUUAAUCCACAUAAUCCACCGCUUGUGCGGGUCCCCGUCAAUUCCUUUGAGUUUUAAUCUUGCGACCGUACUCCCCAGGCGGAUCGCUUAAUGCGUUAGCUGCGCCACCGAACGGCAAGCCGUCCGACAGCUAGCGAUCAUCGUUUACGGCGUGGACUAC
rnacentral:misc_RNA from 1 species